rnacentral:rRNA from 1 species
AUGGAGAGAUAUAGGGAGCAAAAGAAGGACUUGCAUAUGGUGUUCAUUGACUUGGAGAAGGCCUAUGAUAAGAUACCGCGAAAUGUCAUGUGGUGGGCCUUGGAGAAAUACAAAGUCCCAACAAAGUACAUUACCCUCAUCAAGGACAUGUACGAUAAUGUUGUGACAAGUGUUCGAACAAGUGAUGUCGACACUGAUGACUUCCCGAUUAAGAUAGGACUGCAUCAGGGGUCAGCUUUGAGCCCUUAUCUUUUUGCAUUGGUGAUGGAUGAGGUCACAAGGGAUAUACAAGGAGAUAUCCCAUGGUGUAUGCUCUUUGCGGAUGAUGUGGUGCUAGUUGACGAUAGUCGGACGGGGCUAAAUAGGAAGUUAGAGUUAUGGAGACAAACCUUGGAAUCAAAAGGGUUUAGGCUUAGUAGAACUAAAACCGAGUACAUGAUGUGCGGUUUCGGUACUACUAGGUGUGAGGAGGAGGAGGUUAGCCUUGAUGGCCAGGUGGUACCCCAGAAGGACACCUUUCGGUAUUUGGGGUCAAUGCUGCAGGAGGAUGGGGGUAUUGAUGAAGAUGUGAACCAUCGAAUCAAAGCCUGA